rnacentral:rRNA from 1 species
UACGUAGGGGGCAAGCGUUGUCCGGAUUCAUUGGGCGUAAAGAGCUCGUAGGCGGUGUGUCGCGUCGGCCGUGAAAACCUGCAGCUUAACUGUGGGCUUGCGGUCGAUACGGGCAUCACUGGAGUUCGGCAGGGGAGACUGGAAUUCCUGGUGUAGCGGUGAAAUGCGCAGAUAUCAGGAGGAACACCGGUGGCGAAGGCGGGUCUCUGGGCCGAUACUGACGCUGAGGAGCGAAAGCGUGGGGAGCGAACAGGA